rnacentral:rRNA from 1 species
AGAGUUUGAUCCUGGCUCAGGACGAACGCUGGCGGUGUGCUUCACACAUGCAAGUCGAACGAGGUAGCAAUACCUAGUGGCGGACGGGUGAGUAACACGUGGGAAUCUUCCUUUGGGUGGGGGAUAGCAGGCCGAAAGGCCUAUUAAUACCGACUAUAUGUGCAUAUUUCGACAGAGGUAUGCAUGAAAGCAGUAAUGCGCCCGAAGAUGAGCCCGCGCCCGAUUAGCUAGUUGGUAGUGUAACGGACUACCAAGGCUACGAUCGGUAGGUGGUCUGAGAGGAUGAUCACCCACAAUGGGACUGAGACACGGCCCAUACUCCUACGGGAGGCAGCAGUGGGGAAUUUUACGCAAUGGGGGAAACCCUGACGUAGCGACACCGCGUGAGCGAUGAAGCCCCUUGGGGUGUAAAGCUCUGUCGGCUGGGACGAAAAAAAUGACGGUACCAGCAAAGGAAGCAUCGGCUAACUACGUGCCAGCAGCCGCGGUAAGACGUAGGAUGCAAGCGUUGUCCGGAUUCAUUGGGCGUAAAGCGUUCGUAGGUGGUUUGUUAAGUCUGAUGUUAAAGACCGGAGCUCAACUUCGGAACUGCAUUGGAUACUGGCAGACUAGAGUAUGGUAGAGGCAAGCGGAAUUCCCAGUGUAGCGGUGAAAUGCGUAGA